UACGGGGGGAGCAAGCGUUGUUCGGAUUUACUGGGCGUAAAGGGCGCGUAGGCGGCGCAACAAGUCACUUGUGAAAUCUCCGGGCUUAACCCGGAGCGGUCAAGUGAUACUGUCGUGCUAGAGUGCGGAAGGGGCUACUGGAAUUCUCGGGUGUAGCGGUGAAAUGCGUAGAUAUCAAGAGGGAACACCCUGCGGCGAAGGCGGGUUGCUGGGCCGACACUGA
rnacentral:rRNA from 1 species